AUGCCCUUGCCCUUCUGUUCUAGUAGUACAUUGCAUUGCAGCUUUGUGUGGUACUGGUACUGUCUGCUGAAACAUGUCUGUGGAACUGCAGAGGCCGCCGUGGCGGGAGCCAAGGCCGCGGCCGUCGCCACCGUCGCUGCCGCAGUACCUACACUGGCGAGCGUGAGGAUGCUGCCGUGGGCGAGGGCGCACCUGAACCCCACAGGCCAGGCGCUCAUCAUCUCCACCGUCGCUGGGAUGGCCUACUUCAUCGUCGCCGACAAGACCAUCCUCUCCAUGGCCAGGAAGCACUCCUUCGACGACGCGCCAGACCACCUCAAGAACACCUCCUUCCACUAA
rnacentral:rRNA from 1 species